rnacentral:tRNA from 1 species
AUUCUUAUAAUAUAAAUAAUAUAUAAUAAUUUCAAUAUUAAAAUAAGUAACUACUUUAAGAAUU